rnacentral:hammerhead_ribozyme from 1 species
AUUCAACUGACGAGUCCCGAAUAGAACGAAACGCGCUUCCUGUAU